rnacentral:rRNA from 1 species
GCGCACCAGGCGCGUAAACUUCGCAAUGCGCGAAAGCGCGACGAGGGGAUUCCAAGUGCAUGCACUAAGUGUAUGCUUUUCGUGAGUUUAAAACGCUCACGGAAUAAGGGCUGGGUAAGACUGGUGCCAGCCGCCGCGGUAAUACCAGCGGCCCUAGUGGUGAUCGUUAUUAUUGGGCCUAAAGCGUCCGUAGCCGGUCCGGUAAAUCUCUGGGUAAAUCGUUGGGCUUAACUCAGCGAAUUCUGGGGAGACUGCUGGACUUGGGACCGGGAGAGGUCGGAGGUACUCCAGGGGUAGGGGUGAAAUCCUGUAAUCCUUGGGGGACCACCGGUGGCGAAGGCGUCCGACCAGAACGGGUCCGACGGUAAGGGACGAAGCCCUGGGGCGCGAACCGGAUUAGAUACCCGUGUAGU